rnacentral:rRNA from 1 species
AGCGAACGCUGGCGGCAGGCCUAACACAUGCAAGUCGAACGAACCUUUCGGGGUUAGUGGCGGACGGGUGAGUAACACGUGGGAACGUGCCUUUAGGUUCGGAAUAACUCAGGUAAACUUGUGCUAAUACCGAAUGUGCCCUUCGGGGGAAAGAUUAAUCGCCUUUAGAGCGGCCCGCGUCUGAUUAGCUAGUUGGUUGAGGUAAUGGCUCACCAAGGCGACGAUCAGUAGCUGGUCUGAGAGGAUGAUCAGCCACAUUGGGACUGAGACACGGCCGAAAAUGCUACGGAAGGCAGCAGUGGGGAAUCUAGCGCAAUGGGCGAAAGCAUGACGAAGCAAUGCCGCGUGAAAGAUGAAGGUCUUAGGAUUGUAAAAUUCUUUAACAGGGGAAGAUAAUGACGGUACCCGGAGAAGAAGACCCGGCUAACUUCGUG